rnacentral:sRNA from 1 species
GGGGGUGGCCCCUCCCUCAGCCACCACUCCACAUGCAUCCCUUCUGAAGCUGUGCUUGGGAGGAUGGACUCUCCCCAAAGAUAAAGGAGCUAGAGGAGGAGGAUUCCUGAGUCAAGGGCACAUGAGUAACUAUGCUCCCCUGCUGUUGAUAGAACUCCGAAGGAGCUUCCAAGGUCCAUUUGCAGGAAGAUGUAAGUGGGCUUCUAAGACUCCAGAUGCAUUUUAAAUGAGGUGCUGCAUGGGCAAGCUGCUAUUCUUG